rnacentral:lncRNA from 1 species
AUUUUCAGGUUCUGGGGAUGUUUGGCUGUCUAAGACAGAAUUCUGAGGACAGAGCUGGGACUGUGGCUCCUGUCCCCUGACCCCCUUACCCCACACUGGGUUCCUGCUUUCACAGAGGCACUGAGUAACUGCACAGAGGACCUGCUGGGGUCUGAGCUGGUGCCACCAGACCCCUGCUACACCUGCCAGUGUCAGGAUCUGACAUGGCUCUGUACUCACCGGGCCUGUCCUGCGCUCAGCUGUCCCCUGUGGGAGCACCACACAACCCCUGGGAGCUGCUGCCCCGUGUGUAAAGACCCUACCGGAUCAUGCUCGCACCAGGGUCGCUGGGUGGCCUCUGGAGAACACUGGAUAGUGGACGCCUGCACCAGCUGUGCCUGUGUGGCUGGUACUGUGCACUGCCAGAGCCAGCGCUGCAGGAACCUCUCAUGUGGCCGGGAUGAGGUCCCUGCCCUGAGUCCCGGCAGCUGCUGUCCCCGCUGUUUGCCCGGGCUGGCUUCCUGCAUGGCCUUCGGAGACCCCCAUUACCGCACCUUCGAUGGCCGCCUGCUGCACUUCCAGGGCAGCUGCAGCUACGUGCUGGCCAAGGACUGCCACAGCGAGGACUUCAGUGUGCACGUGACUAAUGAUGACCGGGGCCGGAGGGGUGUGGCCUGGACCCAAGAGGUAGCGGUGCUGUUGGGAACCGUGGCUGUGAGGCUGCUGCAAGGCAGGA